UACAGGGCUAUCUAGAUGCUCCUUUAUCGCCACCAACAGAUGUUCGUCCUGCUAUGAAACGACAACGAAUUUAUUGUCAACUUCGUAGUGAAGAUUCUAGUAUGUUUGGUGAACGGAAUAACACAAUGGAGGAUGAAAACGAAGAUGAUGAGUACGAGGAACUGCACUCACACUACAAAUGUUCUAAAAUUCAGGAUAAGAGCAAGCCACCACAGUCACGACGUGAACCACUCCA